rnacentral:misc_RNA from 1 species
UCUCCGUUGGUGAACCAGCGGAGGGAUCAUUACCGAGUUUACAACUCCCAAACCCCUAUGUGAACGUUACCAAACUGUUGCCUCGGCGGGAAAUUCAUGCCCCGGGCGCGUCGCAGCCCCGGACCAAGGCGCCCGCCGGAGGACCAACCAAAACUCUUUUGCAUGUCCCUCGCGGACUUUGAUAAUUCUGAACCAUCUCAGCGCCCCUAGCGGGCGUUUCGAAAAUGAAUCAAAACUUUCAACAACGGAUCUCUUGGUUCUG